CCCUUAGACGUUCUGGGCCGCACGCGCGCUACACUGACGAAGGCAACGAGCUUUCCUUUACCGAAAGGUACGGGUAAUCUUUUGAAACUUCGUCGUGCUGGGGAUAGAUCCUUGCAAUUUUUGAUCUUAAACGAGGAAUGCCUAGUAAGCGCAAGUCAUCAACUUGCGUUGAUUACGUCUCUGCCCUUUGUACACACCGCCCGUCGCUACUACCGAUUGAAUGGUUUAGUGAGGCCUUCGGAUCCGCGACUCGUUUGUGGAGAAGUUGGACAAACUCAGUCAUUUAGAGGAAGUAAAAGUCGUAACA
rnacentral:rRNA from 1 species